UACAGGGGUGCAAACGUUGCUCGGAAUUAUUGGGCGUAAAGCGCGCGUAGGCGGCUACUUAAGUCGGAUGUGAAAGCCCCUGGCUCAACUGGGGAAGUGCACCCGAAACUGAGUAGCUUGAGUGCAAAAGAGGGCCGCGGAAUUCCCGGUGUAGAGGUGAAAUUCGUAGAUAUCUGGAGGAACACCGGUGGCGAAGGCGGCAUCUGGACCGGUAUUGACGGCUGAGGCGCGAAAGCCAGGGGAGCAAAGCGGGAU
rnacentral:rRNA from 1 species